rnacentral:rRNA from 1 species
GCGCGAAUCCUUUACAAUGCAGGAAACUGCGAUAAGGGGACACCGAGUGCCAGUGAAUUUCAUUGGCUGUCUUAAUGUCUAAAACGCAUUUAAUAGCAAGGGCUGGGCAAGACCGGUGCCAGCCGCCGCGGUAAUACCGGCAGCCCGAGUGGUAACCACUAUUAUUGGGUCUAAAGGGUCCGUAGCCGGGCCAAUCAGUCUUCUGGGAAAUCUGGCAGCUCAACUGUCAGGCGACUAGGGGAUACUGUUGGCCUUGGGACCGGGAGAGGUAAGAGGUACUUUAGGGGUAGGAGUGAAAUCUUGUAAUCCUUAAGGGACCACCAGUGGCGAAGGCGUCUUACCAGAACGGGUCCGACGGUGAGGGACGAAAGCUAGGGGCGCAAACCGGAUUAGAUACCCGGGUAGUCCUAGCCGUAAACGAUGUUCGCUAUGUGUCAGGGACGGCGUGACUGUUCCUGGUGCCGAAGGGAAGCUGUGAAGCGAACCACCUGGGAAGUACGGCCGCAAGGCUGAAACUUAAAGGAAUUGGCGGGGGAGCACUACAACGGGAGGACG